rnacentral:tRNA from 1 species
GUGUAGCUCAGUGGUAGAGCUCCUACCUAGCAUGUAGGAAGGCUUAGGUUUGAUCCCCAGCAC